rnacentral:rRNA from 1 species
AUUGAACGCUGGCGGCAUGCUACACAUGCAAGUCGAACGGUAACAGGGUGCUUGCACCGCUGACGAGUGGCGAACGGGUGAGUAAUGCGUCGGAACGUGCCGAGUAGUGGGGGAUAACGCAGCGAAAGUUGUGCUAAUACCGCAUACGUACUGAGGUAGAAAGUGGGGGACCUUCGGGCCUCGCGCUAUUCGAGCGGCCGACGUCUGAUUAGCUAGUAGGUGAGGUAAAGGCUCACCUAGGCGACGAUCAGUAGCGGGUCUGAGAGGAUGAUCCGCCACACUGGGACUGAGACACGGCCCAGACUCCUACGGGAGGCAGCAGUGGGGAAUUUUGGACAAUGGGCGAAAGCCUGAUCCAGCCAUGCCGCGUGUCUGAAGAAGGCCUUCGGGUUGUAAAGGACUUUUGUCAGGGAGGAAAUCCCUAGUGCUAAUAACACUGGGGGAUGACAGUACCUGAAGAAUAAGCACCGGCUAACUACGUGCCAGCAGCCGCCGUAA